AUUGAACGCUGGCGGCAGGCUUAACACAUGCAAGUCGAGCGGGGGAAGGUAGCUUGCUACUGGACCUAGCGGCGGACGGGUGAGUAAUGCUUAGGAAUCUGCCUAUUAGUGGGGGACAACAUCUCGAAAGGGAUGCUAAUACCGCAUACGUCCUACGGGAGAAAGCAGGGGAUCUUCGGACCUUGCGCUAAUAGAUGAGCCUAAGUCGGAUUAGCUAGUUGGUGGGGUAAAGGCCUACCAAGGCGACGAUCUGUAGCGGGUCUGAGAGGAUGAUCCGCCAAACUGGGACUGAGACACGGCCCAGACUCCUACGGGAGGCAGCAGUGGGGAAUAUUGGACAAUGGGCGCAAGCCUGAUCCAGCCAUGCCGCGUGUGUGAAGAAGGCCUUAUGGUUGUAAAGCACUUUAAGCGAGGAGGAGGCUACUUUAGAUAAUACCUAGAGAUAGUGGACGUUACUCGCAGAAUAAGCACCGGCUAACUCUGUGCCAGCAGCCGCGGUAAGAC
rnacentral:rRNA from 1 species